CCCUUAGAUGUUCUGGGCCGCACGCGCGCUACACUGACUGGUGCAACAAGUGUCGCUCCUUGGCCGAUAGGCCUGGGCAAUCUUUGAACGCCAGUCGUGAUGGGGAUAGAUUCUUGCAAUUUUUGAUCUUCAACGAGGAAUUCCUAGUAAACGCGAGUCAUCAACUCGCAUUGAUUACGUCCCUGCCCUUUGUACACACCGCCCGUCGCACCUACCGAUUGAAUGGUCCGGUGAACCCUCCGGAUCGGCCUGCGCCAACGCAAGUUGAGUAAAGGCCGAGAAGUUGGGUAAACCUUACCAUUUAGAGGAAGGUGAAGUCGUAACA
rnacentral:rRNA from 1 species